rnacentral:rRNA from 1 species
GCCAGACUCCUACGGGAGGCAGCAGUAGGGAAUAUUGCUCAAUGGGGAACCCUGAUGCAGCGACGCCGCGUGGGUGAAGGAGCGUUUCGGCGCGUAAAGCCCUAUCGGCAGGGAAGAAGGAGGACGGUACCUGACUAAGAAGCCCCGGCUAACUACGUGCCAGCAGCCGCGGUAAUACGGAGGAUGCGAGCGUUAUCCGGAUUUAUUGGGUUUAAAGGGUGCGUAGGCGGUCUGUUAAGUCAGCGGUAAAAUUGCGGGGCUCAACCCCGUCGAGCCGUUGAAACUGGCAGACUUGAGUUGGCGAGAAGUACGCGGAAUGCGCGGUGUAGCGGUGAAAUGCAUAGAUAUCGCGCAGAACUCCGAUUGCGAAGGCAGCGUACCGGCGCCACACUGACGCUGAGGCACGAAAGCGUGGGGAUCGAACAGGAUUAGAUACCCUAGUA